rnacentral:misc_RNA from 1 species
AAAACGCGUAAUUCAGUGUGAAUUGCAGAUCUACGCGAAUCAUCAAUAUUUUGAAUGUAAAUGACGGGCGGUUCUCUUCGGAGGACACGCUCGUAGAUUUUUGAGCGCGGCUAAUUAUUCAAUACCCUUCCUCCCACCUAAUAAAAAAAAAUAAUUUUAUACGGGGAGGCCUCCUAAAGAAUUUUACUAGGGAGGAGGAAAAAGGUGCGAUUCAAGAAGCCGCUUCCAGGGAAAGAAGAAACUUACCCUGGUAAGGCAAGGGAAAGAAAAAAAAUUUGUCUAGGGAAAAAAAAAAAUAUUCUAAAUAUUAAUCUCGUAUUCAAAAAUAAAAUUUAUAAAAAUUUCAAAUACCUCCGUCUCAAACAUCUACAAUUACUCCGUGAAUUUAAGC